rnacentral:rRNA from 1 species
UACGAAGGGGGCUAGCGUUGUUCGGAAUCACUGGGCGUAAAGCGCACGUAGGCGGAUUGUUAAGUCGGGGGUGAAAUCCUGAGGCUCAACCUCAGAACUGCCUUCGAUACUGGCAAUCUCGAAUCCGGAAGAGGUUGGUGGAACAGCUAGUGUAGAGGUGAAAUUCGUAGAUAUUAGCUAGAACACCAGUGGCGAAGGCGGCCAACUGGUCCG